rnacentral:rRNA from 1 species
UAAGAAAUUUGGCGGUAUCUUAAUCUAUUCAGAGGAACCUGUUUUGUAAUUGAUAUUCCACGAUGUACCUCACUUAAAUUUGUUUUCAGUUUAUAUACCGUUGUUACUAUUAAUUUUUUAAGAAUAAUAAUUUUUGUGAUUUUGAAUUUAGAAAAUAUAUCAGAUCAAGGUGUAGCUUAUAUUUAAGUAGAUAAUGGGUUACAAUUAAUUAAUUAAGUUGGAUUUAAUUUUGAAAUGAUUAUUGAAAUUGGAUUUGAUAGUAAAAUUAUAGAGAUUGAUAAUUUGAUUUUUUAGCUCUAAGAUAUGUACAUAUCGCCCGUCACUCUUAUUUAUUAAAGUAAGAUAAGUCGUAACAAAGUAGAUGUACUGGAAAGUGUCUCUAGUAACAAUUUAAAACUUAUUAGUAAAGUUUUUCAUUUACAUUGAAAGGAUAAUUGUGCAAUUCAAUUUAAAUUGAAUAGUAUAAAUUUAUUAAUUUAUUUAUUUAUUAAUUUUAUUUUAUUAAAAUUAUUUAUAGAAUUUAAUUUUUAGUAUUUAUUUUAGAAAAAAUAAAUUUAAUUAUAGUUAAUUAGUAUUGUGAAAGAAUAUUGAAAAAUU